UACGGAGGAUCCAAGCGUUAUCCGGAAUCAUUGGGUUUAAAGGGUCCGUAGGCGGCCUUAUAAGUCAGCGGUGAAAGUUUGCAGCUUAACUGUAAAAUUGCCAUUGAUACUGUAGGGCUUGAAUUUUUGUGAAGUAACUAGAAUAUGUAGUGUAGCGGUGAAAUGCUUAGAUAUUACAUGGAGUACCAAUUGCGAAGGCAGGUUACUAACAAACGAUUGACGCUGAUGGACGAAAGCGUGGGUAGCGAACAGG
rnacentral:rRNA from 1 species